UCGGACUCAGCCUGCCUGCACCCAGGUGAUUAAAAAGCUUUAUUGCUCACACAAAUCCUAUUUGGUGGUCUCUUCACAUGGACGCGAGUGAAAUUUGGUGCCGUGACUUGGAUCGGGGGACCUUCCUUGGGAGAUCAAUCCCCUGUCCCCCUGCUCUUUGCUGCAUGAGAAAGAUCCACCUAUGACCUCUGAUCCUCAGACUAACCAGCCCAAGGAACAUCUCACCAAUUUUAAAUGGGAGACAAAGGAGAUGCGUUUUAUCCGUGGACCCAAAACUCCGGCGCCAGUCAUGGACUCAGGAAGACAGUCUUCCCUUGGUAUUUAACCAUGCGGGGAUGCCUGGCUGAUUAUUCAUCCACAUUUCAUUGUUGUCUGAUCACCUACCUUGGUCAUUCACCCACAUUGCCUUUGUGGGAAGUCAAUUGUGGGGAUGCCUGCUUUGGCUGCUCACCCACAUUGCAGCCCAGGGCUGCUCACCCACCCCUUCUCUCCAUGUCUCCUCCCAGUCCUUUUCCACUUUCCUGCGGGGCAAACACCUCCCACCCCUUCUCCACUUUCCUGGGGGGAAAGCACCCCCUACCCCUUCUCUCCAUGUCUCUACUCACCCCUUCUCCACUUUCCUGGGGGGCAAGCAUCCCCACCCCUUCUCUCCAUGUCCCCACCUCUUCACUUUCCUGGGGGGCAAGCACCCCCCACCCCUUCUCUCCAUGUCUCUACCCUCUUUUUUCUCUGGACGUGCCUCCUUCACUGUAGGCAACUUUCCACCCUCCAUUCCUCCUUCUUCUCCCUUAGCCUGUGUUCUCAAGAACUUAAAAUGUCUUCAACUCACACCUGACCUAAAACAUCAAUGCCUUAUUUUCUUCUGCAAUGCUGCUUAAUGCCAACACAAACUCAGUUAUGGCCCUAAAUGGCCAGAAAACAGCACUUUCGAUUUCCUCAUUCUACAAGACCUAAAAUAAAUCUUGUCAUAAAAUGGGCAAACGGUCUGAGGUUCCUGACAUCCAGGCAUUCUUUCACACAUCAGUCCCUCCCUAGUCUCUGUUCCCAAUGCAACUUAUCCCAAAUCUUGCUUCUUUUCCUCCCACCUGUCCCUUCAGUCCCAACCCCAAGUGUCGCUCAGUCUUUUGAAUCUUCUUUUUCUAUGGACCCAUCUGACCUCUCCCCUCCUCCCCAGGCUGCUCCUCACCAGGCUGAGCCAGGUCCGAAUUUUUCCUCAGCCUCUGCUCCCCAACCGUACAAUCCUGUUAUCACCUCCCCUUCUCACACCUGGUCUGGCUUACAGUUUAGUUCUGUGACUAGCCCUCCCCCACCUGCCCAACAAUUUCCUCUUAAAGAGGUGGCUGGAGCUAAAGGCAUAGUCAAGGUUAAUGUUCUUUUUUCUUUAUCCGACCUCUCCCAAAUCAGUUAGCGUUUAGACUCUUUUUCAUCAAAUAUGAAAAAUCCAGCCCAGUUCAUGGCCCGUUUGGCAGCAACCCUUAGACUCUUUACAGCCCUAGACCCUGAAGUGUUAGAAGGCUGUUUCAUUCUAAAUAUGCAUUUUAUCACCCAGUCAGCUGCUGACAUUAAAUAAAACUCCAAAAAUUAAAUUCCAGCCCUCAAACCCCACAACAGGACUUAACCUCUCCUUCAAGGUGUACAAUAAUAGAGUAGAGGCAGCCAAGUAGCAACAUAUUUCUGAGUUGCAAUUCCUUGCCUCCACUGUGAGAGAAACCCGAGCCACAUCUCCAUCACACAAGAACUUCCAAAUGCCUAAAUCGCAGUGGCCGGGCAUUCCUCCAGGACCUCCUCCCCUAGGAGCUUGCUACCAGUGCUGGAAAUCUGGCCACUGGGCCAAGGAAUGCCCACAGCCCAGGAUUCCUCCUAAGCCAUGUCCCAUCUGUGCAGGACCCCACUGAAAACCAGGCUGUUCAACUCACCUGGCAGCCACUCCCAGAGCCCCUAGAACUCUGGCCCAAGGCUCUCUGACUGACUCCUUCCCAGAUCUUCUCAGCUUAUCGGCUGAAGACUGACACUGUCCGAUCACCUCAGAAGCCUCCUGGACCAUCACAGACAACAAGCUUUGGGUAACUCUUACAGUGGAGGCUUCCAUUAGCCUUCUGCCAUGAGUGGACGCAGCCAGAGGACCUCAUCUGAUAUAGAUGCCUAAUCUUGAAUUUCCAGCCAUCAGAAUCUUAAGCCAAAUAAACCUUUUUUUUAAAAAAAAUUACCCAGCCUCGGGCAUUACAUUAUAGCAACAUAAAAUGAACUGAGACACAGAGGUAUAAGAAUAUGGUGACUUGGACUGGUGUGGUAGCACUGAAGAUGGUGGCUUUUGGAUGGUGGUAUGUAUUUUGAAGGUAUAUGGAAGAGAAUUUCUUCAUCGGAAACUGGGGAUGGGGAAAAAAAAGUCAAGAACAAUUUUCUAUGUUUGGCCUAAGCAAUUGAAUGAGUAGAGGUGCCACUUAUUAAGUGGGGAAGGAAUCUGGUGUCAGAUGGCUGCAGGAAAGGGUAACGGAUGGUGAACAAGGCACAUUUCAUCAAGAGCUUAGCACUGGAAUUAUUAAGAUUGAUAUAACCACUAGGCAUCCAAGUAGAGAUGCUGAGUUGCAGCUAUAGAUAUGCUUUGGAAUUCAGAGGAAAGGCCCAGACAAAAACUAUGCAUUAAGAGUUGUCAAUGUACACAUGGUAUUUAAAACCAUAGGAGGCCAGGAGCUGUGGCUCACUCCUGUAAACCCAGCAGUUUGGGAGGCCAAGGAGGGUGAAUCACUUGAACUCAGGAGUUUGCGUCCAGACUGAACAAGAUAGUGAGACCUCAUUUCUUCUAAAAAUUAAAAAACAAUUAGCCCAGCAUGUUGGCUCACACCUGUAGUCCCAGCUACUCAUGAGUCUGGGGUGGGAGGAUCACUUGAACCCAGGUUAAUGCUGCAGUAAGCCGUGAUUGCACCACUGCACUUCAGCCUGGGCAACAGAGUGAGACCCAGUCUCAAAAAUAAAAUAAAGCCAUGGAACUGGAGAAGACUUAGCGUGAGGACUGAGUCUCGGAUAAAUCAAAUUUAGUUGUUGGUAGCAGAAAGAUGAUCAAGCAGGAGACACUGAGAAAUCUGGGUUAUAGUUAGAGAAAUAAUUGUGAUGAAGAUAAUCACCCAAGUUAUUGUUCCUUCUUGAAGAAACGAACACCAAGUCACUUCAGGCUUCAUAUCAUAAGAGUUAAAUACUUUAAUGGUAAAACCAACUUAGAAUCUAUACUUUAAUUAUUAAAAGCUCUUGAAUGGCAUCCACGAUGGCUUUUAUUUUGAACUCAU